AUUGAACGCUGGCGGCAGGCUUAACACAUGCAAGUCGAGCGGGGGAAGGUAGCUUGCUACCGGACCUAGCGGCGGACGGGUGAGUAAUGCUUAGGAAUCUGCCUAUUAGUGGGGGACAACAUCUCGAAAGGGAUGCUAAUACCGCAUACGUCCUACGGGAGAAAGCAGGGGAUCUUCGGACCUUGCGCUAAUAGAUGAGCCUAAGUCGGAUUAGCUAGUUGGUGGGGUAAAGGCCUACCAAGGCGACGAUCUGUAGCGGGUCUGAGAGGAUGGUCCGCCACACUGGGACUGAGACACGGCCCAGACUCCUACGGGAGGCAGCAGUGGGGAAUAUUGGACAAGGGGGGGAACCCUGAUCCAGCCAUGCCGCGUGUGUGAAGAAGGCCUUAUGGUUGUAAAGCACUUUAAGCGAGGAGGAGGCUACUUAGAUUAAUACUCUAGGAUAGUGGACGUUACUCGCAGAAUAAGCACCGGCUAACUCUGUGCCAGCAGCCGCCGUAA
rnacentral:rRNA from 1 species